rnacentral:rRNA from 1 species
UGAGAAGUGUGCUCAUAAUCUGUCUUCGGACAACUUCUUGACUUUGACCUCA